rnacentral:rRNA from 1 species
AUUGAACGCUGGCGGCAUGCUUUACACUUGCAAGUCGAACGGUAACAGGCCGCAAGGUGCUGACGAGUGGCGAACGGGUGAGUAAUGUAUCGGAACGUGCCCAGUCGUGGGGGAUAACGCAGCGAAAGCUGCGCUAAUACCGCAUACGAUCUAUGGAUGAAAGCGGGGGACCGUAAGGCCUCGCGCGAUUGGAGCGGCCGAUAUCAGAUUAGGUAGUUGGUGGGGUAAAGGCUCACCAAGCCAACGAUCUGUAGCUGGUCUGAGAGGACGACCAGCCACACUGGGACUGAGACACGGCCCAGACUCCUACGGGAGGCAGCAGUGGGGAAUUUUGGACAAUGGGCGCAAGCCUGAUCCAGCAAUGCCGCGUGCAGGAAGAAGGCCUUCGGGUUGUAAACUGCUUUUGUACGGAACGAAACGGUCUGGGUUAAUACCUCGGGCUAAUGACGGUACCGUAAGAAUAAGCACCGGCUAACUACGUGCCAGCCGCCGCAGUAAAAC